rnacentral:rRNA from 1 species
UACGUAGGGUGCAAGCGUUAAUCGGAAUUACUGGGCGUAAAGCGUGCGCAGGCGGUUUUGUAAGACUGUCGUGAAAUCCCCGGGCUUAACCUGGGAAUGGCGAUGGUGACUGCAAGGCUAGAGUUUGGCAGAGGGGGGUAGAAUUCCACGUGUAGCAGUGAAAUGCGUAGAUAUGUGGAGGAACACCGAUGGCGAAGGCAGCCCCCUGGGUCAAAACUGACGCUCAUGCAUGAAAGCGUGGGGAGCAAACAGG